rnacentral:lncRNA from 1 species
CCAAAAAAACACUUCAAAUAUAUGAAUAAUUUCUGAUCAUUUUAGUUAGUGGCAUCUAGAAAGUUUUAUAGGCUGUAGAUCCUCCAACAUUGAAAACUGCUUAAUCAAGUGUGCCUCCUGAACUGUAAAUAGUUUAUGACAUGCCAAUUAAGACUGAUGUCUGAUAACUGAUUGGGGAAAAUUCAGCUCUUUUCCACCAGGCAACCCUAUAUUUCUGCUUUCCUUGAUCUCUGUAUGAAGUGGAUNAUGGAUGUUGCAUGGGGAAGCAGGGUAUUAAAACUGAGAACUGUCUCAUGGAUCUAAGAGCAGAAGUUUGCCUUUGAAUUGUAAUAGUCCAUCCCUUAGUAGCUACUUCAGUAGUAACAGAUUAUUUUCAAUUAUGUUGUCUACCUUUAUAGCAAGCAUGUCAUCCAAAGAUUGAAAUCAUUUCUGAAGUGAGUGAUGUCAAGGACUCUGCUUCAGAGGAAAACAAAACCUUAUGUGGGAACUCAGUAACAGAAGAGAUCCCAACAGCCAUCUUUUCAAAUAUAUGUAAGGUACCUGAAGACAGUCAAAGGGAAACCACAAGACUUCUUGUAGAAGGUUUAGCAGAGCCUUGGAGUCCAGAGAGAGACUUAGAGAUCAAAGUUAAACAAGCCAAACCUUUGAAACCAUUGAUACAAGAGAUUAUUGCUGAACCAAUAGAUGAGAUACUGACAUCAGCAGCCUACAAUAAAGUGGAUGACCUAACCCUAGAGGAACUGGACAACAAAGGCAGUCACAUCAAACCCUCCUGCCCUGAGAAUAGCAUUGAGGACAAAAUGGUGCAGUGCCUGGCAGAAAAUGGAGGAUCCCCUCAUAAACCACAAGAUAACGAGGACAUCGAGUAUGGGUUAGAUUAAGUGAUGAACAAAAAUGGACCAAAUAUGGAAUACACCAUCUGGCCCACUAUUUGUGGUUACUCCUACUGUGGGUCCCUCAGUAAAACACCUGAAAAUACACUUCGUGUGAUGUCAUUCAUCAAAUGACUGCCUUAAUAUAGGAACUUUGUGUUCUAUCACAAAGUCAGCCAGUCAUGGCCAACAUAACAGUAUAGCCCUCAGCAGCACUACAUUAAGGUCAAGUAUUUCUGUGAAUGAUGCCAGACAAAACUGAACCAUACUGCUAUGCAGAAGAGAGGGGCUAACUGCCAGCUUACCCACCGGUACCAAGUGCUUUAUGGUCUGAUUUUCAAAGGUGCUGAGCACCUAUAGCGCUCAUUGCAGUCAAUCACUUGUGAGCGCUCAAUACCUUUAAAAAUCAGGUCAGUAAUGUUUAAAGGUUGAGUUCAAGUUUCUUUUGAGAAGUUAUUUCUUUCAAAAAAUAGGGACGUUAAAUGUUUCAUUUAUUGCUGUAGUUUUAAUCUACUGUGUCACAUUUAUUUUUGUUCGGUCUAAAGAAAAUCCUGUUAUUAAAGGGCUGCAUUGUUAAUUUGUACAAUUUCCAUGUAUGUAUAUUCCAGCAAAUACUUACCAAACAUGCUCACUGAAAAU